rnacentral:lncRNA from 1 species
AGGGUCAAGCAAUAUUAAAAACCCUAUUGUAUGUUAAACCCUUGCAUAUACAUAUUUACAUUUCAUUAGAAUAUGAAAACUCAAUGUUUAUCUUUUUUCUUAUCAUCAAUUCCAUCAGCCAGUGUUCCUAAGCCAGUGUCAGUCAUUUUGUUUUAUAAAUAUUGAUAGAUGUAUUACCAGUUGUUUAUGACUAACAGUUCUUUUGU